GCCCAGGGUGGCCUCGGUGUCCCUGUUCCCAAGGCAUCUGUGCCACAGGGAUGUGAUGCAUGGGUGCCUGUGACACAGACAUCUCCCCCUGCCUCUCCAAAUCUUUUGGGGGCCAAACUCAUGCACUUACUCACAAGAACUGCUCUUCCCACGGGGACAGUUUGGGGGCAAUCCUCACACCCUGUACCCCUGUGUCUCCGUUCCCACACUGCCACCCUGUCCCUUCUCCCUUCCAGCCCAGACCCUCAGCCUUGCUGAUGUCCAGACCACCCAGCUCCUGGUGGAGCCCCUCGGAGGCUGGCGGUGCCGUGGGACUGGGUGACAUUGACCUGCCAGGGCUCAGGGACUGCUGGUGCCACCACGAGGUACAAGGACAGGCAGCACUGUUGGCAGGGACACAACACUGUCCAUGUCACCAAGAGUGGCAUCUACAUGUUUGACAGACCCGGCAGUGGGCUCAGCCCCCUCGUGAGACUCCUAGACGAGCUCUUCUCGGUGCUGGUGCUGGAGGGUCCCCCAGAGCCCACCGUGGGGUCCCUGACUCUCAGCUGCCUCAGCACCCCCAGCCCCC